rnacentral:tRNA from 1 species
GGAUUGUGGCUCAGUGGUAGAGUGCUUGCCUAGCACAUAUGAGGCACUGGGUUCAAACCUCAGCACCA